rnacentral:tRNA from 1 species
GUCGUUGUAGUAUAGUGGUGAGUAUUCCCGCCUGUCACGCCGGUGUCCCGGGUUCGAUCCCCGGCAACGGCG